GACGAACGCUGGCGGCGUGCUUAACACAUGCAAGUCGAACGAUGAACUUGGAGCUUGCUCUGGGGGAUUAGUGGCGAACGGGUGAGUAACACGUGAGUAGCCUGCCCUGGACUCUGGGAUAACUUCGAGAAAUCGGAGCUAAUACCGGAUAGGACCUUGCACCGCAUGGUGUGGGGUGGAAAGUUUUUCGGUUUGGGAUGGACUCGCGGCCUAUCAGCUUGUUGGUGAGGUACUGGCUCACCAAGGCGUCGACGGGUAGCCGGCCUGAGAGGGUGAGCGGCCACACUGGGACUGAGACACGGCCCAGACUCCUACGGGAGGCAGCAGUGGGGAAUAUUGCACAAUGGGCGCAAGCCUGAUGCAGCAACGCCGCGUGCGGGAUGACGGCCUUCGGGUUGUAAACCGCUUUUAGUAGGGAAGAAGCCUUCGGGUGACGGUACCUGCAGAAAAAGGACCGGCUAACUACGUGCCAGCCGCCGCGGUAAAAC
rnacentral:rRNA from 1 species